AAUCAGACAUGUGCAAUAUUGAGUGCUACAUGGGUCGGAACUACGCUGUGAACAUUUCUUUGCUCUCAGAUAAAAAGUUCUGUGAGGAACAUUAGACUUCACUGCAUUUACCAUUUGCCAAGAGUUUCCUAGGAUUCAGUUAUUUCGCACCAAGUUGUGGACAUUGAAUUUCGUACCUGCAGGAUUAUCUUUUUUUUCUUUAAAUACAAAUUCUUUCCAUUUGCAUUAAAUCUUUUAUCAAGACACAAACCGGAUUUUACAAUGGUUUAUAUUGUUCAAACAGAACUGCCAAACUUGAUGGCAUAUAAGACUGUGCUAUCCGGAAUGCAGAAACUACCACAACUCUGGUAUCCCCGGUCAUUCUCAGCAGAUAAUUUAUUUGCUAUGCAAAAUAAGAAAGAUGUGAUACCAAAAGUGUCAUCUGUAGGGGAAGAUCUCACCUAUUUGGAGAGAGAUCGCUCAAUCACCACAGACCCAACGGAGAGCAAGAAGAGAAGGACAAUAAAGUUAAUACGAACAAAUUCAUCAUGGGGCUUCACCUUACAGACAUAUGGUAUACGACAUAAGAAAAAUAAUGAAAUUGAAAUCACAACUUAUGUAGACUAUGUGGAAAUCGACAAGCCAGCCUGGAUUGCAGGGAUGCGACAAGGUGAUGUUAUCUUAUCUGUGAACGGUGAUAGUGUUGAGCAAGCAACACAUCAACAACUGGUAGAGAAGAUCAAAUCUUGCGCUCGCUACAUGAGGUUGGUUGUCCUUUUUGAAGAUUGUUGCAGGAAAGUAGAAUUACAUGACCGCUAUAUCAAACUAAAGAAUAUUCUCAGAGAGAAAAAACGGGAACUGAAAUUACUAAAUGAACAAGAACAAAAUAUUCUUCAAGGUUUGUCAAGAACAGAUGGAGCUCGCUUAAGUUGUCGCAGUUCAGCCAGUUCUUUGGACAGUGCUUUUGACCAGUACAGUUUAAUUCGACCAUGUUCUAUGAACAAUCUUCCAAACAUCUGCCAUUUUUCUUAUACCCCUAUUUCAUGCGAUACCGAUGCCAACAACAGCCAUGGUAGUGAUACCUCAGAGCUUGCAAGCAUUUUGGAAAGAGCUGGUGUCGAUUCAGAUUCUGACACCUGCAGUAAUUUUUCAGUGGCAGCAAGCACAGAUACUCAAGAAUGUCUUUCAGUGGUUCUUUCAACUGAAGAAUCAGCAUGUUGUAAACCAAAAACUGUUGCUGACAAUGAACAAUUUUCUACUGCUGAGGAGGACAGUGAGUUAGAACUCAAGAACUGCAGUACCAACUGUUUAAAUAAAAGCCUUUUCCCCCAGUCAGACAGUGAUCCUCCUAAUGAACACAUCAACCAGAAAGAUGAAGUUACUCGAUUAUGAAAUGACACAAAAAUCUGAAAAUAAUCAAAAGCUUUGAAUUUUUGUGUUAUUAUUAUUAUUAUUAUUAUCAUUAUUAUUAUUAUUAUUUUUCACAUCUGUUCUUUCGUUUAAAAUGUGCUUCAAUACAUUUGGAUUAGCAGAAUUGUUUGAGCAGUGAACAAAUGCCAUGUGGCAUUUGUUCCAGCUCUUUACAUUCUGAGUUCAUCCUUUCGGGGGUUGAUGAAUUAUGAAGAACCAGUCAAGUACUGGGGUUGAUAUAAGAGACUAACCCAUACCUUAAAAUUUCUGGCCUUGUGCCUACCAUGCACACAAACAAACACAAACACACACUUCACAUAAAUUCAUAAACGAUACACAGAAGGAAUACAUAUGCUGAUCCAACAUAUCUCUGAAGAUUUCGCUUACACGGCAAUACAAGGGCAAGAGAAUGGCAGAAUUGUUAGAGUGACAGACAGCAAAAAGCCUUGUGGUAUUUAGUUGCAAACCUUUAUGUUCUGAGUUCAAAUCCUGCUGAGGUCAGCUUUGCCUUUUAUCUUUCUGAGGUUGAUAAUAAAAUAAGUAUUGGUUGAAGAGUACUGGGGGUGAGCUAAUCAACUGUAGCCAGCUCCUAAAUGUUGAGGCCUUCAGUAAACAUGAUCAUAGCUUUUCAUUAUAAAUGAAAGACUAUAACAAUGGAAAGAAAUGUAUCAGUGAUAUUUCAUAUACCAUACAUACAUACACACACACAUACACAUAUAUAUUCGUGUAUGUAUGUGCGUGUGUUUACAUCAUCAUUAUUUAACGUCCACUUUUUCAUGAUCACAUAGGUCAAACGGAAUUUCUCGAGGUAGAUUUUUCUAUGACCAGAUGUCCUUCCUGUCACAAACUUUCACCUGCUUCCAAGCAAGGUAAUAUCUCCCUAAUGGCCAGACAUGUUUCUCAUGGAAGACAGGAAAUGAACAAUACUGUUCGUAUGACAGUGAUGUGCACUUACAACCAUGAUGCCAUAACAUGGAUGCACACACAUAUAUACACACACACAUAUUUAUGACAGGCUUUUUUCAGUUUCUGUCUGCCAAAUGCACUCACAAGGCUUCGGUUAGCCUGGGCUUACUAGAAGAUGCUUACCCAAGGUAUCACAUAGUUGGACUUGAUCUAUGACUCACAGUUGGGAAGCAAGCUUCUUAAUCACAAGGCCGCAUGUGCGCAUGUAUGUUUGCGUGAAAAUUAAGGAAAACCUUAUCAUUUUGUAAUUUGUUCUUAUGUCCUCAACCCAUCACCUUUAUAGCAGCAAAAGAAACCAUGGUCACCGUCAUCAUUAUUAUUUUUAUUAUGAUAAUUAUAUAUUAUUAUUAUUGACUUGACAGAACUGUUAGGGCAUUUGUUCAUACUCUUUAUGUUUUGAGUUCAAAUCCUCCUGGGUCCACUUUGCCUUUCACUUUUUCAGGGUCGAUAAAAUAAGGUACCAGUUAAGCACUAGGGCUGAUUUAAUUGACUUAACCCUUCAAAAUAUUAGGCCUUAUAUUUAGAUUACAAACAUUAUUAUUAUUAUUAUUAUUAUUAUUAUUAUUGAUGGAUUAGCAAAAUCGUUUGUGUCAGACAAAAUUCUUGCAGCAUUUCUUCUGGCGCUUUACGUUCUGAGUUCAGGUCCUACCUAGGUCAACUUUUCCUUUCAUCCCUUCCGGCUUGAUAAAAUAAAAUACCAGUCAAGUACCGGAGGGGUGGGUGUGUCAUAGAAGUUGACUCACCCCCUCCUGCAAAAACUGCUGGCUUUUUGCCAUAAUUUGAAACAAUUACUAUUAUUAUUAUUAUUAUUAUUAUUACCUUGUGGUGAAUUGGUACAGUGUUGCACAAAAUGCCUCAAGGUAUUUAGGUGUAUUCCUUUUAGUUCUGAGUUCAAAUCCUGCCAUAGUCAAUAUGUCCUGCCAUGCUUCCAGAGUCGAUGAAGAUGUACUAGUCAAGUACUGAAGCUGAUAAUCGACUAUCUCCUUCCCACUACACACACACCUAAAUAUGAGGCCCUUGUGCCUAUGUUAGAAAACCUCAUUAUUAUUAUUACCCUUCAUCUAAUCAAUAAAAUAAUGAUAUGCAUUAUUUUUCCUUACUUUUUUAUAUAUUCUGUAUAUACACCCACUUUUUCAUCAUACAAAUACUCUUUCCACGCAUACAUAAACAAGAACUUAGAUAAAAAGGAAAAAGAAAAAAAACAUGCCAUCCUUCUUUGUCUUAUCAAACACCUCCCACUAUGAAAAAAAAAAAAAUAAGUGUGGCAGUAAGUGAAUGAAUGUGAUAACUGUUGAUUCUGUAUAUUUCUAAAGACUAAUAUUUCCAAUAACCUGUUAGAUUUGAUCAAAUUAAACUAGCCUGCUCUUUCAGGCAUCUCACAUGGAAUAUAUAUGGAAAAGAAAUAAAAAUCAAAACCUUGGGGGUUAUCUCUCUAUUCUUUGACUAUCUAUGGAAGAGGGCAUGAUAAAACUUUUUUUUUAUUUUUUAUUUCAGAAAUAAAAUUGUGAUUCUUUUGAAACUUCUUUGAAUCAUAAAAAAG
rnacentral:misc_RNA from 1 species